AUUGAACGCUGGCGGCAGGCUUAACACAUGCAAGUCGAGCGGAAACGAUGAUAGCUUGCUAUCAGGCGUCGAGCGGCGGACGGGUGAGUAAUACUUAGGAAUCUACCUAGUAGUGGGGGAUAGCACGGGGAAACUCGUAUUAAUACCGCAUACGACCUACGAGAGAAAGGGGGCAGUUUACUGCUCUCGCUAUUAGAUGAGCCUAAGUCGGAUUAGCUAGAUGGUGGGGUAAAGGCCUACCAUGGCGACGAUCUGUAGCUGGUCUGAGAGGAUGAUCAGCCACACCGGGACUGAGACACGGCCCGGACUCCUACGGGAGGCAGCAGUGGGGAAUAUUGGACAAUGGGGGAAACCCUGAUCCAGCCAUGCCGCGUGUGUGAAGAAGGCCUUUUGGUUGUAAAGCACUUUAAGCAGUGAAGAAGACUCCGUGGUUAAUACCCACGGACGAUGACAUUAGCUGCAGAAUAAGCACCGGCUAACUCUGUGCCAGCAGCCGCGGUAAUACAGAGGGUGCAAGCGUUAAUCGGAAUUACUGGGCGUAAAGGGAGCGUAGGUGGCUCUAUAAGUCAGAUGUGAAAUCCCCGGGCUUAACCUGGGAACUGCAUCUGAAACUGUAGAGCUAGAGUAUGUGAGAGGAAGGUAGAAUUCCAGGUGUAGCGGUGAAAUGCGUAGAGAUCUGGAGGAAUACCGAUGGCGAAGGCAGCCUUCUGGCAUAAUACUGACACUGAGGCUCGAAAGCGUGGGUAGCAAACAGGAUUAGAUACCCUGGUAGUCCACGCCGUAAACGAUGUCUACUAGUCGUUGGGUCCCUUGAGGACUUAGUGACGCAGCUAACGCAAUAAGUAGACCGCCUGGGGAGUACGGCCGCAAGGUUAAAACUCAAAUGAAUUGACGGGGGCCCGCACAAGCGGUGGAGCAUGUGGUUUAAUUCGAUGCAACGCGAAGAACCUUACCUGGUCUUGACAUAUCUAGAAUCCUGCAGAGAUGCGGGAGUGCCUUCGGGAAUUAGAAUACAGGUGCUGCAUGGCUGUCGUCAGCUCGUGUCGUGAGAUGUUGGGUUAAGUCCCGCAACGAGCGCAACCCUUGUCCUUAGUUACCAGCGGGUUAAGCCGGGAACUCUAAGGAUACUGCCAGUGACAAACUGGAGGAAGGCGGGGACGACGUCAAGUCAUCAUGGCCCUUACGACCAGGGCUACACACGUGCUACAAUGGUAGGUACAGAGGGCAGCUACACAGCGAUGUGAUGCGAAUCUCAAAAAGCCUAUCGUAGUCCAGAUUGGAGUCUGCAACUCGACUCCAUGAAGUAGGAAUCGCUAGUAAUCGCGGAUCAGAAUGCCGCGGUGAAUACGUUCCCGGGCCU
rnacentral:rRNA from 1 species